CGGAGUGUAGCUCAGUUGGCAGAGCGCCGGGCCUGGGACCCGGAGGCCGGGAGUUCGAGACUCUCCGCUCCGACCA
rnacentral:tRNA from 1 species